rnacentral:lncRNA from 1 species
UGGAGGGCUACCAGAAGGGGGUCUGCACCCGCGCCUGGGCCCCGGCCACGUGCAGCGGGAAGCCGCGGGGGUUCCCCUCCCGGCCGGGUCGCCACCUCCCGGGGGCGGGCAGCCCGGAGCCUCGCCGCCUCCUCGCCCCUCCCCGCCCCGGGGCCUGGUCCCCGCGCAGCCCCUCCCUCCCGUCGGAAUUCGCAGCCUCCGCGGCUCCUUCUCUCCCCCCGCGGCCUCCCCUCCAGGGAGUGGGCGUCGCGGCGACUGUGGGCUGCAGACCCCGACUCGGCCUGCGCCCCGGGCGCCUCCCGGCUCCCAGCGGCACGGCCGCCUCCCCGCUCCGGGCGCCAGGGCUUCGCCGGGGCCGCGCCCUCGCGGGCGCGGAGAGGCCAACGGGGCUCAGAGGGCCCCGGGGCGGACCCUCCCGGGCCGCGCCGACGCUCCCCCGCCCCACGCGCCUCCCGGUCGGCUCUCCCGGGAAGCAUCGGCCGAGCCGCGGGCCCUCUCCGCCGGCGGGGUCACAGCUCCCACAGCGGCUCGGGCUCCGGCCUCCGCGGACGGCCCCGGAGGCCCCGCUCGCCGUCCCCAGCCCCCUCACCCCUCCGCUCACGCGGGCCGCCCGGGGCCUCCACGUCCCUCCCUUCUCCGUCGGGCCCCAGCCCGUUACCGGUGGCGAGCGCGGGGAGCCGAGCGGCCCGAGCUGCGCAGGCAGUGACUCAGGGCGGCGGCGGGAGGAGCAGGAGGCGGCGCCGCGAGCAGAUGGCGCUAAAAAAGACCCGAGAGCCCGCCGCUCGCGCUCAUAUACAAUCAGCGUCAGCACGCAGGGCUGGCUCCGCCGCCCGCCCCCCGGCCUCCCCGUCUCCUAGCGACGCGACUGGGAGGCGGGGCCAGGACCGGUCGCCUAGCAACGGAACCUUCCUCCUUUCCCCCGGCGACCUCCAAACUCGCAGCGCCAGACUUGGGUUCCCGCCUCCGCCCCCUACGACGCCUCCAGCCAUCUCUUUUCUACGCUCUUAG